rnacentral:RNase_P_RNA from 1 species
GAAGCGAGCCAGACCGCCGCUGGUGCAAUCGCCGAAAGGCCGCACUGGAGGAAGGUCCGGACUGCAAAGAGCAGCGUAGCAGCUAACGGCUGUCCACCGCGAGGUGAGGAUCAGAGCAACAGAGACGAGUCGGUCGUCCGGCACUGGAAGCGCGGCGCAAGCCGGGCUUUCAAGGUUCCUUCGAAAGAGGGCAGACCCUUCGGGGUUGGGGGCGGGCAGGGCGCAAGCCCUGCGGGACCCGGGGCGCAGCCUCGGGGGCCGGGUGAAACGGGCAAUCUCUACGCGCAGCAACACCAAAUAGGCCAGCAUCGAGGCGGCUCGCGGAGCUGGCGGGUAGGUGGCAUCGAGCCGUUCCCGCGAGGGGCGGCCCAGAGGAAUGGCGGUCACGCUCGCGCCGGCGCAAGUCGGCGCGAACGCACAGAAUCCGGCCUAUCGGUUCGCUUCACAC